AUUGAACGCUGGCGGCAGGCCUAACACAUGCAAGUCGAGCGAGCGGCGGACGGGUGAGUAAUGUCUGGGAAACUGCCUGAUGGAUGGGGCUAACUACUCGAAACGGUAGCUAAUACCGCAUACCAUCAGAUAUGCCCGGAUGGGAUUAGCUAGUGGGUGGGGUAACGGCUCACCUAGGCGACGCUCCCUAGCUGGUCUGAGAGGAUGACCAGCUACCCGGGAACGGAGACACGGUACAGACUCCUAUGGGAGGCAGCAGAGGGGAAUAGUGCACAAUGGGAGCAGGCCUGAUGCAGCCAUGCCGCGUGUGUGAAGAAGGCCUGCGGGUUGUAAAGCACUUCCAGCGGGGAGGCGUUACCAGAAGAAGAAGCACCGGCUAACUCCGUGCCAGCAGCCGCGGUAAUAC
rnacentral:rRNA from 1 species